AUUGAACGCUGGCGGCAUGCCUUACACAUGCAAGUCGAACGGUAACGCGGGGCAACCUGGCGACGAGUGGCGAACGGGUGAGUAACGCAUCGGAACGUGCCCAGUAGUGGGGGAUAGCCCGGCGAAAGCCGGAUUAAUACCGCAUACGACCUACGGGUGAAAGCGGGGGAUCGCAAGACCUCGCGCUAUUGGAGCGGCCGAUGUCAGAUUAGGUAGUUGGUGGGGUAAAGGCCUACCAGGCCGACGAUCUGUAGCUGGUCUGAGAGGACGACCAGCCACACUGGGACUGAGACACGGCCCAGACUCCUACGGGAGGCAGCAGUGGGGAAUUUUGGACAAUGGGCGCAAGCCUGAUCCAGCCAUGCCGCGUGCGGGAAGAAGGCCUUCGGAUUGUAAACCGCUUUUGUCAGGGAAGAAACGCUCUGGGCUAAUACCCCGGGGUAAUGACGGUACCUGAAGAAUAAGCACCGGCUAACUACGUGCCAGCCGCCGCCGUAACAC
rnacentral:rRNA from 1 species